ACAUAUUUUAAUUUUUAAUCAUUUUAUUAAAUUAAAUAAAAUUACAUUUAAAUCCACCUUCAAUUAAAUAUUACAAAAUAAAAUUCAUUUAAAUAAAUUUAUUGUAAUCCAUUAUAUUCUUAAUUAUAAUCUGCAUCUUGAUCUGAUUUAAUUUUUCAUAUUAAUUUUUAAACAUUAAUUUUAUUAAAAAAUAUUUUUAUAACAACGAUAUACAAAAUUAUAAAAUAAGUAAA
rnacentral:rRNA from 1 species